GGAAAUAAUCGGGAGCGUAAAGCGGAAGUAGACCGUGGGAAAAACAGAAACGACCUUCACCUUUCAAAUCGCGCGUGAUUUACGAUGAUGCGAUAAAAACAAAACAUCGUCGAAUUUCGGUGUCGUCGAAUUUGGGUUACGGCAGGAUACAUGUUCAUUUAUCAGUGUUUUUAAUGCCCACACUGUUCCAAUAUGUGAAGAAGGAAACCUUUAAUCCGUUUUACAUAAAGGUGGUCAAACUUGUGUGCGGGGUCUAACAUAUCGGUGUCCAGGAUCGUGCAACAACGAUGACAGAUCAUGGAUAUAUGCAGUAUUUGUCAUGAAUGCAUUGAUGAAAGUACCACAACAGCCCGUCUUGGUCCAAAGGGAUGUCAAAGGCUAUUGGACAUAAGCAAUAAAAGAGGACUUCAGUUGAAUGCUGCACCGGGUGACAUCGUCCAUGUUUAGUGUAGAAAAGAUUUCACACGGCCUGUCAAGGAGCAGGAUAUAUCUGUCACUAACAAUGUGUCACGUGUGUUACGCUCUGAUAUUCAGUUUGAUUUUAAACAAAAUUGUUUAUUUUGUGCAAAUCAAGCAAAAUUUUCUUUACAAACAAACAAGAGAUCUAGUGAUACAUAUCCUGUUAGAAGUUUGCACUUUAAGGAAUCUAUUGUAGAUGUUUGCAAUACAAGGAAAGAUGAGUGGUCCACAGCAAUUUUGGCUCGUCUGUCCCACGCCAUUGACCUUCCUGUAGCAGAAGCCAUAUACCACCAGUCGUGUAGUGUGAACUUCAAGACUGGAAAAGGUAUUCCAAAAUGUUACCGUAACGAUGACAGUGAAUCUUCAUGUAGUGCCAAACGUCAAAGAACUGGAAGACCAGAAAACACAAGCCAGGUUGGUGUUUAUGAACAUGUGAUUAAGAUGAUAGAAUCGGGCCAAAAUAUGUCGAUUGUUGAUCUUGUAAACAAAAUGUCAAACAUUUGUGGGGAAGAAAAUGCAUAUUCUGCAAAAUAUAUGAAAAGAAACAUUAAUGAACAUUUUGGCGAGAGUGUUGUUAUAAGCAAUUCAGAUGGGAAAAGUUAUAUUGUGACAUUGAGACAAACCAUCGCAAACAUAAUUCAUGAAAUCUACAAUGAAGACGCUUCAAAUAUGUCAGAAGAAGAAAAGAAAAGAAAAAUAAUUGAGUCUGCUGCUAAAAUAAUCAAUUGCAGAUCUACUAAAUCGCAAAACAACUUCGCAACAACUUUUGUUUUUGAUGGCAGGUCGCUCCUGCACAAACUGAUAUGGAACAAAGGAAGCAUGUUUGGUGAGAUUGUCCAGGGCUAUCUCGAGUUCAUUGGAAGAAACUCUCAAGGGGAUUCCUGUGUUGUCUUCGAUGGCUAUCCAGAGAGUGCAACAACCAAGGAUACAGCGCACAUAAGGCGAACAAAAGGCAUAUGUGGCCAAGCGGUUAUAUUUUCACUUUACACUCCGUGUAAAAUAAAGAAAGAUGUUUUCCUGACAAUUCUUCAAAACAAACAGAAAUUUAUCUACUUUCUUGAUGAAUACUUGAGCAAUCGCGAUGUUUAAGUCCAUCAUGCCAAUGACGAUGCAGACACUAACAUUGUGAAUAUCGCUAUUGAAAAGGCUAAAACGAAACAAGUAGUCCUGUCUGGAGAGGAUACAGAUUUACUUGUGCUAUUGUGUCAUCAUUAUAAAACUAAUCUUCAGGAAAUAAUUACGAAAAAAUAGCCAAAACGAAGAGAAGGAAUGGGAUAUCGAAAAAACAUGCAAUGUGCUUGGUUAGACUGUUUGAUAUGUUUUGCCAUUACUACAUGCUCUAACUGGGUGUGACACGACCUCAAGAAUGUAUGGCAUAAGCAAGUCAGCAGCAUUGAAGAUGUUGUCAAAAAGUGAAAGGUUUAAAAUACAAUGCCUCGCUUUUAAUGAAGCUACUGAUAUCGAAAACAUUCAAGAAAAUGGUGAGCAGCUCAUUGCCAUGCUGUACGGAACAGAAAACCCGAUUUCGCUUGACGAAUUGCGUUUCAAAAAGUUUUCUGUUAAAGUAGCUAGCAGCACAUCUCAUGUAGAAGUCAAAUCUCGUCCACCCACCUCAGUGGCAGCGAAGUUCCACUCUUUAAGGGUUUACUUUCAGACAAAGGUAUGGUUUGGCAACAACUCGCUGAACCCUCUUGAUUAUGGGUUGCAAGUUAUCCAGGGAAAGAUGCUUCCUCUGAAAUCUUCACUGCCACCGGCACUUGCUUCCUCUGAAAUCUUCACUGCCACCGGCACCUGACAAAUUGCUUACCAUCAGAGCUCCAGAUAAAAAUAAGGUCAAAUUCUUAUUUACUCCCUAUUUUAAAAAUUAAUUCUUAUUUUACCCCCUAUUAAUAAAAUUAUUUCUUAACAAUAUAUUACCAAAUUUUUUUUUAUUCAUUGUUUUUGACACACUAACAAUUCAACAUUUUGGUUUAUAGUCUUGGAAAAGCCUGGUUUUCCUUCUCCGUUUCUUGCUAAUUGAAAGAAUAUGCACCAUGGACUUUUGACACUGAAAUAGCUUUGUUUUGCCUUCCACGCUUCGAUACACCGCUUUGGUCGGCCAUUAUGAUUUUUUAUGUAAAACGGUCACUGACACUUUGGCUUAGGUCAUAAUGGCCUUUUGGUCGCCGUUAAAGUCGUAUCAAAAACUAUAUUUAACAUUUAAUUUUAAUUACAUUUUGAAUAGGUAUACAGUAUAUUACUUGUGUAUAAAAAUUACGAUAAGUGUAAUUAAAAAGGUACAAUAAACAGCAAUGACACGUCUGCAAUACUGGGAUAACAGAAUCGAGACCGUUUGGCCUUUCGACCGUUCUUAGGUGUGGCUCUUCCUCACAGCAAACGCUUGAGUGACGUUGACUUAAAGUUGUAGUUUUAAUUGAGCGCCUAGACGAUUCAGAACCGGGAUGAAAUGUUAACCGUAUAUAAUUUGCUACUGGAAGUUUUACGCACGUUCGAAAAUUUUGAAUUCGUGUUUUAUUUUUUCAAUGCGUAACUUUACGCAAGGAUUCUAAAUCUAAAUCGUUAUUUAAGAAAUUUAAUUCGUUUUUACGCCUUUACGCAUGUUAUCUGGAGCACUGCUUUCCAUCAUUCACUGCAACUGUAUGCUGAACUGCGAUACGAAAAAAUGCACCUGUAGAAAACAUGGUAUAGAAUGUUCGUAUUGUUGUGGUGGAUGCAGGGGAGUAUCGUGUUCAAAUUCCAUAAAACCUACAGAACUGGACUUAGAUAAAAAUGAGUCUUGUAUGGAAUUAAAUAUUUGCUAGAUUGCCGGUAUGUAAGUGUACAUAGAUACAAAGUUUCUAUAAUAUUUAAUGCUGUGAUAGGUAUACACGUUCAAGAAUGUGUAUACUGAUUAUGCUAAGCAAACAAUGAUUUGUAACCAAAAAGCAACUGAUUUCAUUUCAGUUAGACUUUAUUGAUUUAUGUUACUUGUUUUUCAUCAUAUGGAUGUGGUACAGACAAUUGAUCGAUGUUUGGUCAUUUAUAUGUUUGAAUAUUGUUUGUAUACAUCUAUAAAAGUACCCUGUAUUACAUGAUGCGGUUUGAACCUUUGAUUUGUUGCUGUCAAAAUAUACUUAUAUAUGUCUAUCACUAGAAAGUUUUGUAUA